CUUUCGGGGGAUAUGCUCAAGGUAUUAUAUUAGUAUUAGGGCAGAAAUUUAGUUAUUAUAUUUAUUAUACAAAGUGGAGGAUUAAUUUAGUAGGAGGGUGUUAAGAUUUUUUAGAAAAAUUACAUCAAUCGAGGGGUAGCUGUUGAGGCGUUCAUGGUUAAAAUAUGAUUUCUGGGCUCUGACUGGGCUGCAUUUUAGUCUUUUGUUUUUGGGGUUUGGCAAGGAUACAUUUAGCUAGGUUGAUAGUAAAGUCAGAGAUGCGGGGAGGGGGUAUUGCAGAUUUAAUCGGAAAUAGUUCUUGAAAUUCAGAGUGCAUGCGACGGGCGUGAGCGUCGGUACGGGCGUGAGCGUCGGUACGGGCGUGAGCGUCGGUACGGGCGUGAGCGUCGGUACGGGCGUGAGCGUCGGUACGGGCGUGAGCGUCGGUACGGGCGUGAGCGUCGGUACAGGCUUGCGUGUCUAUUAAUUGUUAUGUCCUUCAAGCAUGAAUUAAGUAACACCUUCUGGUUAUAAUGCCAGCCUGGAAUAUGAAUAUAAGGUUAGCUUCUACAAUUGAUUUGGCAGGAAUCAAAUCCGAGUUCCUCUACUGCGGAUUCGGCAGGGACCAGAAAAGGGAGUAACAGAAGAAAAAACUCACCUUUCUUCAAGAAAUAUUCCAACUGCUCUGCAUCUGUGAACAUGCUCUGCCUUCACUCCUGUCACUGAAGAUCCUUCACUGCACAGCUCUUUACCUCUACUCAACGCUUUGGAAAUAUAAUCAGCCGUCUCCGUCAGUGAUAGUUAUCUUCUACAUUCAUCUUCUACAUUCCCAGAUUCAACCUACAGCAGACAGAAAUUUUUUUUCCUCUGAACUUUUUACUGGCAUCCUGCUCCACAAAGGGUACCCUGCUC
rnacentral:lncRNA from 10 species